rnacentral:rRNA from 1 species
UACGGGGGGGGCAAGCGUUGGUUCGGAAUUACUGGGCGUAAAGGGCUCGUAGGCGGCCAACUAAGUCAUACGUGAAAUCCCUCGGCUUAACCGGGGAACUGCGUCUGAUACUGGAUGGCUUGAGUUCGGGAGAGGGAUGCGGAAUUCCAGGUGUAGCGGUGAAAUGCGUAGAUAUCUGGAGGAACACCGGUGGCGAAGGCGGCAUCCUGGACCGAUACUGACGCUGAGGAGCGAAAGCCAGGGGAGCAAACGGG